rnacentral:rRNA from 1 species
UCGAACGCUUUUCUUUCACCGGAGCUUGCUCCAUCGAAAGAAAAAGAGUGGCGAACGGGUGAGUAACACGUGGGUAACCUGCCCAUCAGAAGGGGAUAACACUUGGAAACAGGUGCUAAUACCGUAUAACACUAUUUUCCGCAUGGAAGAAAGUUGAAAGGCGCUUUUGCGUCACUGAUGGAUGGACCCGCGGUGCAUUAGCUAGUUGGUGAGGUAACGGCUCACCAAGGCAACGAUGCAUAGCCGACCUGAGAGGGUGAUCGGCCACACCGGGACUGAGACACGGCCCAGACUCCUACGGGAGGCAGCAGUAGGGAAUCUUCGGCAAUGGACGAAAGUCCGACCGAGCAACGCCGCGUGAGUGAAGAAGGUUUUCGGAUCGUAAAACUCUGUUGUUAGAGAAGAACAAGGAUGAGAGUAAAUGUUCAUCCCUUGACGGUAUCUAACCAGAAAGCCACGGCUAACUACGUGCCAGCAGCCGCGGUAAUACGUAGGUGGCAAGCGUUGUCCGGAUUUAUUGGGCGUAAAGCGAGCGCAGGCGGUUUCUUAAGUCUGAUGUGAAAGCCCCCGGCUCAACCGGGG